rnacentral:ncRNA from 2 species
AUCGGGAGCUUGUACACAGGCUGAGAGGAAGGUGUGACCUUCGACCGUUGACCUGAUUUGGGUAAUGCCAGCGUAGGGAGAUUGA